CUCAAGAAUUCCUUCAACACUGUCGAGCUUGUCAGGAAGUGGGAAGGAUUGCAACAACUUCAGACCCUUGCACAUAAUGAACACCUACAAUUCUUUCGAACUGAGAUGACUCCCCAGAAGUUGCAUAAUUCGUAGUCUCAAUUGUAGCAGGAACAGAAAGUUCUACCUUCAGAUACGGAAUUGGACCUCAAAGAUUGAAAUAAGUGGUGGUGUCCAAGUUUGACUUAGAAAAUGAAGCAAAGGAGUUAGAGAACUAUAAAAUAAAACUGCAGUUGGGAAAAUCCUGAAUUGGCAGAGAGGUUAGAAUCCACUCAACCCUUGCAAGAUAUGUUCUGGGAUAUACAGAAAUAGAAGAAAUAAAGAAAUUGAACCACAACCUCAGACACAAAAAAAAAA
rnacentral:lncRNA from 1 species